rnacentral:rRNA from 1 species
UACGAAGGGUGCAAGCGUUACUCGGAAUUACUGGGCGUAAAGCGUGCGUAGGUGGUUUGUUAAGUCUGAUGUGAAAGCCCUGGGCUCAACCUGGGAAUGGCAUUGGAAACUGGCUUACUAGAGUGCGGUAGAGGGUAGCGGAAUUCCCGGUGUAGCAGUGAAAUGCGUAGAUAUCGGGGGAACAUCCGUGGCGAAGGCGGCUACCUGGACCAGCACUGACACUGAGGCACGAAAGCGUGGGGAGCAAACAGG